GACGAACCGUACGAACGUUAUUCGGAAUCACUGGGCUUAAAGGGUGCGUAGGCGGUCCGGUAAGUUGGGUGUGAAAGCCCUCGGCUUAACCGAGGAAUUGCGCCCAAAACUGUCGGACUUGAGGGAGACAGAGGUGAGCGGAACUUAGGGUGGAGCGGUGAAAUGCGUUGAUAUCCUAAGGAACACCAGUGGCGAAAGCGGCUCACUGGGUCUCUUCUGACGCUGAGGCACGAAAGCUAGGGGAGCGAACGGG
rnacentral:rRNA from 1 species